rnacentral:misc_RNA from 1 species
GAGUCAGGACGAGUUGAACCGCCGGGUGGAGGCGUUUAUAAAGAAGUUUAACGAAGAAAUGAGGCGGCAGAGACAGGAGUCUUUGAAUCAAUACCAGGAGAAGAUUAGUAGAGGAGCUUAUUAGGAAUUUUGGUUUGAUUUAUGGGUUGAAACGUAUAAAAGGGAGAAAAAAGGGAUAAUAGAGCACAAGAAUGCUAAGUUGGUUCGUUUGUAAAAAUGAUGGAAAAUCAGAAGGCCUCAUGCUAUUUGUUUUUUUCUCAGUGAAUUAGGAGGUGCAAGUAUUAUUUUACAACUCCUCUCAAAAUAAAUAAAUUUUAUAAUUCGAC